AAAGGUUUGGUCCUAACCUUGAGAUCAGUUAUUACUUAAUAUACACAUGCAAGUCUCCGCACCCCUGUGAAAACGCCCUUCAAUCCCCAUUAGGGAUAAGGAGCUGGUAUCAGGCUCGAAAUUCUGCCCAAAACACCUAGCUAUGCCACACCCACAAGGGAACUCAGCAGUGAUUAACAUUGAAUAUAAGCGACAGCUUGACUCAGUUAAAGUAAAAAGAGCCGGCCAAUCUGGUGCCAGCCGCCGCGGUUACACCACGUGGCUCAAAUUGAUCAUACUCGGCGUAAAGCGUGAUUUAAGACAUACUUUGUUGAAGUUAAACUUGAACUAGGCUGUAACACGCUUGUUUAUAAGAAAAUCAAAAACGAAAGUUACUUCAAUUUAUACCACUUGAACUCACGACAGUUGGGACACAAACUGGGAUUAGAUACCCCACUAUGCCCAACCGUAAACUUUAAUUUACACUAUAAUCGCCAGGGAACUACGAGCUAAGCUUAAAACCCAAAGGACUUGACGGUACCCCAUAUCCACCUAGAGGAGCCUGUCCUAUAAUUGAUAACCCCCGUUUAACCUCACCAUUUCUCGCUAUUCAGCCUGUAUACCUCCGUCGUCAGCUUACCACGUGAGCGAACAUUAGUGAGCUUAAUGCCCUUCCACCAACACGUCAGGUCAAGGUGCAGCAUAUGAGAUGGGAAGAGAUGGGCUACACUUUCUAAUCUAGAAAAUACGAAAGACCAUUUAUGAAAUCUGGUCCAAAGGCGGAUUUAGAAGUAAAAAGAAAAAAGAGUGUUCUUUUUAACUAGGCACUGGGGUGUGUACACACCGCCCGUCACCCUCUUCGAAGCUAAUAAACAGUUUUUAACUAGUAUCCGCUAAAUAGAAGAGGUAAGUCGUAACAUGGUAAGUAUACCGGAAGGUGUGCUUGGAAA
rnacentral:ncRNA from 1 species